AUGGCAGUUAGAGUUGGACUUGUUCCUGAUAAUAGUGUUCGGAAAACCGCCAUCAUGAACCUCAACUUGGUGCUGAUACUACUAGCAGUACUCUGCAGCUUUGGAUCAGACAUUGUCAAAGUUGAAGCUCUUUCAACUCGUCUUCCUGCUACUGAAGUGCAAGCCCUACGAGAAAUUGCUACACAACUAGGAAAAAAUGACUGGAACUUCAGCGUAGACCCGUGCCUGAAUGACACAAGCUGGAUUACCCCAAAGUCUGUUGACAGGCCUCAAUUCAACAACACACUCAAAUGCAACUGCUCCUUCACUGAUGGCUCAUGCCAUGUUAUCAACAUUUUUCUUAAAGGGCAAGAUCUUGCUGGUGUUCUUCCACCAUCUAUUGCAAAGUUACCUUACCUUACACGAAUAGAUUUCUCAAGGAACUUCAUCAGUGGUAAUAUACCGAGUGAAUGGGCUUCUACAAAGUUGGACUUAAUGUUACUCAGUGUGAACAACUUAUCUGGACCAAUCCCUGCCUUCCUAGGAAACAUUACCACUCUAAGAAACUUGAGUCUGGAGACAAACAUGUUUUCUGGAACUGUUCCUCCUGAGAUUGGGAAGUUGGUUAACUUGCAGCUUCUCAUCAUUAGUGCAAACAAUCUCACAGGAGUCUUACCGGUGGAUCUCACAAACCUGACUAAAUUAAUAGAACUGAGGAUUAGCAGUAACAACUUCAGAGGAAGAAUUCCCGAUUUUUUCCGAAGUUGGAGUCAACUUAAUAAACUAGAGAUCCAAGCUAGUGGUCUACAAGGCCCCAUUCCGUCUAGCAUUUCUGUCUUGAGUAAUUUAACAGAACUAAGGAUCAGCGACUUAAACGGAGGGGGUUCAGAAUUUCCAGACCUGACUAAUAUGAAAAGCAUGAAAAGAUUAAUGCUAAGGAGCUGUAAUUUAUCUGGACCUAUUCCUGAUUUAAAAGCAAUGCCAGUAUUGAAUAUAUUAGAUCUCAGCUUCAACAGAUUGGAAGGAAGCUUUCCUGAUGUUGAAGCUAUGGUUCUGGAUCCAGACAAUUUGCAGUACUUGUAUCUGACAAGCAACUUGCUCACUGGUUCUAUUCCACAAUGGAUCAAGAGCAAAGAUAACCGCUACCAGAUAGAUGUUUCUUACAAUAAUUUUUCCAAGGACUCUGAGCCACCUACAUGCAGCGAAGUUCAGUACUCAUUUCAUAUAAAUUGUGGUGGUAAAGAAACCACCAUUGGAGGAGUGAAUUUUGAAGAUGAUACAGAUCUUGGAGGUGGAGCAAAAUUUAUAUCGGUGAGACCUAACUGGGGAACCAGCAGCACGGGAUUUUUCUGGGAUACUAAUAUCACCGCUUAUGAUUACAUAGCAAAUAAUGUAUCGGAACUUGGAAUGGAGAACUCUCAGUUGUACACGAAUGCACGCCUCACUCCUCUUUCUCUCACAUAUUAUGCAAACUGCUUAGCAGAAGGAAACUAUACUGUGAGCCUUCACUUUGCGGAGAUAAUAAUUCGAGGCAAUAGAUCUUAUCAAAGUGUUGGAAGACGGAUAUUUGAUGUCUAUAUUCAGGAGAAACUUGUAUUGAAGGAUUUUAACAUUGUAAAGGAAGCAAAAGGGGUGGACAAGGUAGUAAUUAUGAACAUAACUGAAGUUCAAGUCACAGAAAAAACUCUAGAAAUUCGGUUUCAUUGGUCUGGGAAAGGCACAACAGCAUCCCCUAGACGAGGAGUCUAUGGUCCCCUCAUAUCAGCCAUUUCUAUAGAGCCUGAGUUCAAGCCUCCUAGAACUCAUGAUAGCAAAGGAAAGAUGUAUAUGGUGAUUGGAGUUUCAGUUGGAGCUUCAGUUUUGUGCCUUUUGUUUUUAACUUUUGGCAUUCUUUGGUGGAAAGGCUGUCUGGUGCAUAGUCAGACAUCAAGGGAAGAAGUUCUGAGAGGACUGGAUCUACAGACUGGUUUUUUCACCUUGAGGCAAAUGAAAGCUGCCACUAAUAACUUUGAUCCUUUAAACAAAAUUGGAGAAGGUGGUUUUGGGUCCGUUUACAAGGGUGUACUAUUGGAUGGUACUAUAAUUGCAGUUAAGCAACUAUCCUCAAAAUCAAAGCAGGGAAAUCGUGAAUUUGUGAACGAAAUAGGGAUGAUCUCUUGCUUGCAGCAUCCAAAUCUGGUUAGAAUGUAUGGAUGUUGUAUUGAAGCAAACCAGUUAUUGUUGGUAUAUGAGUACAUGGAAAACAAUAGCCUUGCUCGCGCUUUGUACGGUCCAGAGGAUGAUCUCCUAAACUUGGACUGGCCUACAAGGCAGAAAAUAUGCGUAGGCAUAGCAAAAGGUCUGGCUUAUCUGCACGAGGAAUCGGCAGUAAAGGUUGUACAUAGAGACAUCAAAACUACUAAAUGUGUUACUGGACCAAGACCUCAAUUUUUAUCUAGGAUACAUGGCACCAGAAUAUGCGCUAUGGGGUUGUUUGACCUAUAAGGCAGAUGUCUACAGUUUUGGAGUUGUUGCACUAGAAACUGUUUCAGGAAAGAACAACAUGAAAUAUCGACCCAAUGAGAACAUUCAAUGUCUUAUGGAUUGGGCCCUUGUUUUGCAUCAAAAAGGGAACUUAUUGGAGAUGGUGGACCCGAGGUUGGGAUCCGAUUUCAAUAAGAAAGAGGCGCUUAGAACUAUCAAAGUAGCUCUACUGUGUGCCAAUCCAACAGCUGCACUGAGGCCUAUCAUGUCUGCAGUAGUGAGUAUGCUUGAAGGGCGAACCCUAGUGGAUGAAGUGGCUUUGGAUCCAAGUAUCCAUGGUGAUGAAAUGACUAGGUUAAGAGCCUUCGAAAACCUAUCUGAGCAUAAUGCGCAAGGGAGCUCAGCAAGUGGAAGUCACAGCCUCAUGCGUUCAUCAGAUGCAACAUGGACUGGUUCUUCUGAUACUACUACGUAUUCAGAUCUCUAUAAAGUUUAUUCCAGUUAA